rnacentral:lncRNA from 1 species
CAGGGAUUCUUGUUGCUUCUGUAAGUUUACAUUAGCCUCUUCCAGUUUCACCAUCUUCUGCUGUAGUUUCUCUCGUGUCUUAGCUGUUGCUGUCUUGUCCUUCCUGAUGGAGCUUAGUUCCUCUUGGAUUUGAGAGACUUCCCUUUUCACUGUUAUAAUUUCUUCUUUCACUUCAUUCCUUAGUUUACCUAUUUCAUCCUGAAAAACCUUUUUGAGGUUCUCCUGCAUCAUUUCUUGACCCUCCUGCAUUUUCUGCAAUUGUUGCAUUAGGUCUUUUAAGGAGGGUUCGCUUGGCAUUGAGUGCCUCCUGGCCAUUGUCCCAAUUGCAUUAGUGGCAUUCGAUUUACUUGCUUUAGGGGUUGUGAAUUUUUCCAUUUAUUAAUCUAAAGAGUGUCCUCCACUAAUCUUAGGGAAUAAAUCAAUUUAUCUUAAAUUGGAUAAUUGAGCUUAUUCGAUGUAUGUCCUGAUCUGGAAGAGGUGAGGUUGAUAGGACAAGAUCUUGUCUUGCUGUCGCUGUGGAUUCUCUAAGUCCUCUGAUCUUGUUUAAUUAAGUCAGUUAAAUGUAAGCUUCCCAAGCUUAUCCCAACAGAUUGUUUAUUUGCCCAAUCAUUCUAUUACUGUCCUUGAUUAGGGGGUUCAGCUUGGGAUCUCUUACCUUCUCUCACCAGUCUGAGUUAAGUAUUCUAUUCAGAAAUUGAGAGGCAAAACAAGUGUAGAACCAAAUAGAAAUGCUUAGAGUAGCUGUUCCUCCAGUGCCCUUCUUCCUCCCUUACUUGCUUGCUUCACCGCUUACUUCACUGUUUCUCUGCGUCCCGGCGCUUGUGUGUUACGUUUUGGGAAGAACGUCACUCCAGCUUCCUUAAUCACCCCUCUGAUCUUCUCACUUAAAGGGCCCGCAGGCUCUGAACCAUCACAUGAGCAAGUGCAGUCCCCAACCACUCUACAUUCUCCUCUUUUUAAACCACAGAAAACUUCAAUAUUGAAAGCCAAGUAUAAAGAAGACAGAAUUACAUGUCCUCUAUACACAAGAACAGAUGUAACUCAAAGCCAAGACUCAUCGUUUGCAUGGAGAUAGUCCCAGUUUCAGUCCCCAGUAUCUCCAACUAAAGGCUGGAAUUCUGAAGAUUUGUCGCUUCGAUUUCUGCUGGUGAUCAGAUGAAUAUGUUUGAUGCUACUCUUGAGAUACUUAAGACUAGGCAUUUUAUACAAAUGGAAUUCUGUUUACAUGGUAGGAUACAGCUACGUUUGAUGCCAUUUCUAAUAAAUGAAUAAAAUGGGGCAGCAUUCUAUAACUCAUGAAAAGCCACACUGUGUGAAGAGCUUCCAUAGAUACAGGAUGUCCUUCUUUUCAGAAAGGUA